rnacentral:rRNA from 1 species
GAUGAACGCUAGCGGCAGGCCUAACACAUGCAAGUCGAACGGGAUCCUAGCUUCGGUUAGGUGAGAGUGGCGGACGGGUGAGUAACACGUGGGAAUCUGCCUUUUGGUUCGGGAUAACCGCGGGAAACUGCGGCUAAUACCGGAUGCACCCGAGAGGGGAAAGAUUUAUCGCCAGAAGAGGAGCCCGCGUCCGAUUAGGUAGUUGGUGGGGUAAUGGCCUACCAAGCCAACGAUCGGUAGCUGGUCUGAGAGGGAGAUCCCCCACACUGGUACUGAGACACGGACCAGACUCCUACGGGAGGCAGCAGUGAGGAAUAUUGGUCAAUGGACGGAAGUCUGAACCAGCCAUGCCGCGUGCAGGAAGACGCAUCUAUGGUGUGUAAACUGCUUUUAUACGGGAAGAAACCUAUCCACGCGUGGAUAGCUGACGGUACCGUAAGAAUAAGGAUCGGCUAACUCCGUGCCAGCAGCCGCGGUAAUACGGAGGAUUCGAGCGUUAUCCGGAAUCAUUGGGUUUAAAGGGUCCGUAGGCGGAUUUGUAAGUCAGGGGUGAAAGUUUACGGCUCAACCGUGAAAUUGCCUUUGAUACUGCAGAUCUUGAAUAUUUGUGAAGUAAUUAGAAUAUGUGGUGUAGCGGUGAAAUGCAUAGAUAUCACAUGGAAUACCGAUUGCGAAGGCAGGUUACUAACAAAUGAUUGACGCUGAUGGACGAAAGCGUGGGUAGCGAACAGGAUUAGAUACCCUGGUAGUCCACGCCGUAAACGAUGGAUACUAGCUGCUAGGACAGAUUAAUGAUUUAGUGGCUAAGCGAAAGUGAUAAGUAUCCCACCUGGGGAGUACGUUCGCAAGAAUGAAACUCAAAGGAAUUGACGGGGGCCCGCACAAGCGGUGGAGCAUGUGGUUUAAUUCGAUGAUACGCGAGGAACCUUACCAGGGCUUAAAUGUAGUUUGACAGGACUAGAAAUAGUUUUUUCUUCGGACAAAUUACAAGGUGCUGCAUGGUUGUCGUCAGCUCGUGCCGUGAGGUGUCAGGUUAAGUCCUAUAACGAGCGCAACCCCUUUGGUUAGUUGCCAGCACAUAAAGGUGGGAACUCUAGCCAUACUGCCGGUGUAAACCGCGAGGAAGGUGGGGAUGACGUCAAAUCAUCACGGCCCUUACGUCCUGGGCCACACACGUGCUACAAUGGGCGGUACAAAGGGCAGCCAACCCGCGAGGGGGAGCUAAUCCCAUAAAGCCGGUCGUAGUCCGGAUCGCAGUCUGCAACUCGACUGCGUGAAGUCGGAAUCGCUAGUAAUCGUGGAUCAGCAUGUCACGGUGAAUACGUUCCCGGGCCUUGUACUCACCGC